rnacentral:rRNA from 1 species
AACGAACGCUGGCGGCAUGCCUAACACAUGCAAGUCGAACGUGACCUUCGGGUCUAGUGGCGCACGGGUGCGUAACGCGUGGGAACCUGCCUUUAGGUUCGGAAUAACUCAGAGAAAUUUGAGCUAAUACCGGAUGAUGUCUUCGGACCAAAGAUUUAUCGCCUUUAGAUGGGCCCGCGUUGGAUUAGCUAGUUGGUGGGGUAAAGGCCUACCAAGGCGACGAUCCAUAGCUGGUCUGAGAGGAUGAUCAGCCACACUGGGACUGAGACACGGCCCAGACUCCUACGGGAAGCAGCAGUGGGGAAUAUUGGACAAUGGGCGAAAGCCUGAUCCAGCAAUGCCGCGUGAGUGAUGAAGGCCUUAGGGUUGUAAAGCUCUUUUACCCGAGAUGAUAAUGACAGUAUCGGGAGAAUAAGCUCCGGCUAACUCCGUG